rnacentral:lncRNA from 1 species
GCAAAAACAACUCAUGACAUGCCAAAAAUUGACCACAUGCCUUUAUUUAUAAACUAACAAAUUAUUAUGCUAACCCCAUUUCAAAGCCUCUACUAAAAGAUCAAAUAUAGUUAGACACAGGAAAUUCAACUUCAGAAAAGCUAAAGAUUACAUGUUAUUGUUCCUGACCUCUAUAGUUGGCAGAGUUGAUUGAGAGAGCAGAGCUGAUGCAGACAAUGUGAAGUCAAAUAAAGAGGGGAAAUGCUAGACCUGAUAAAGGGACAGCUUCAGUGUUUUGAAAACCUUACAUACCAAUGAUUCAAAGAUAUUCAUUCUACAUACUGGGUUUUGGAUUGUAAAAUAGCACCUGGGUAAGAUAGACAUGAUACAUCUAUCAAUAAAGAAACUCAAAGAAGAUAUGGAAGCAAUGGAUAUUAGUCCUUUAUACCAAGAGUUGCAAUCUUUCCUUUUAAUCAGGAAGACUCCGACUUCAUAGAUCAGACCCAAUUCUUCAGCUUUUCUCAUCCACACUGUGUUGGAAUCUGUAUUGUAUCUUAUCCAGUGGCUCUGGUCACAACAAAAGCAAAAAUGGUACAGUGAAGCCAGUCCCAAGCGCCUGAGUGUCUUCUCUCUCUUCAGUAUUCCUCUUUGAGAGUUUGGCAUUUCAUCUAUGCUAAUCAGAUCCAUCAUGCAUUGGCAG